GAUGAACGCUGGCGGCGUGCCUAAUACAUGCAAGUCGAGCGAACAGACGAGGAGCUUACUCCUCUGACGUUAGCGGCGGACGGGUGAGUAACACGUGGAUAACCUACCUAUAAGACUGGGAUAACUCCGGGAAACCGGAGCUAAUACCGGAUAACAUGUUGAACCGCAUGGUUCAACAGUGAAAGACGGUCUUGCUGUCACUUAUAGAUGGAUCCGCGUCGCAUUAGCUAGUUGGUAAGGUAACGGCUUACCAAGGCAACGAUGCGUAGCCGACCUGAGAGGGUGAUCGGCCACACUGGAACUGAGACACGGUCCAGACUCCUACGGGGGGCAGCAGUAGGGAAUCUUCCGCAAUGGGCGAAAGCCUGACGGAGCAACGCCGCGUGAGUGAAGAAGGUCUUCGGAUCGUAAAACUCUGUUAUUAGGGAAGAACAAAUGUGUAAGUAACUAUGCACGUCUUGACGGUACCUAAUCAGAAAGCCACGGCUAACUACGUG
rnacentral:rRNA from 1 species